rnacentral:rRNA from 1 species
GUGUCAGCCGCCGCGGUAAUACGUAGGUGGCAAGCGUUGUCCGGAUUUAUUGGGUUUAAAGGGUGCGUAGGCGGCCCUAUAAGUCAGUGCUGAAAUAUCCCGGCUUAACCGGGAGGGUGGCAUUGAUACUGUAGGGCUUGAGUGAAGUCGAGGUAGGCGGAAUUGACGGUGUAGCGGUGAAAUGCUUAGAUAUCGUCAAGAACACCGAUAGUGAAGACAGCUUACUAGACUUCAACUGACGCUGAGGCACGAAAGUGUGGGGAUCAAACAGGAUUAGAUACCCCUGUAGUCC